UACAGAGGUGGCAAGCGUUGUUCGGAAUUACUGGGCGUAAAGGGCGCGUAGGCGGCCUUCUAAGUCAGACGUGAAAUCUCCCGGCUUAACCUGGGAACUGCGUUUCUAACUGGCAGGCUUGAGUGUGGCAGAGGGGGGUGGAAUUCCACGUGUAGCAGUGAAAUGCGUAGAGAUGUGGAGGAACACCGAUGGCGAAGGCAGCCCCCUGGGCUAACACUGACGCUCAUGCACGAAAGCGUGGGGAGCAAACAGGA
rnacentral:rRNA from 1 species